rnacentral:rRNA from 1 species
CUGGAGCAUCUGGUGUUGCCCACAUAAACCCGAACCUGUGCAGCAAUGCCAGGCGAGGUGUAGGGCCUUCGGGUCCUGCGGUGAAGAGUUAUGGAGAGUUUUCUCUGCAUGGCCUGGAUCCACAUAGACGCUUUUUAGUUUGACAGUAUCAGUUGACACAAUCAAAAUGACAACUUUUAACAAUGGAUCUCUUGGCUCUUGCAACGAUGAAGAACGCAGUGAAAUGCGAAAAGUAAUGCGAUUUGCAUGAAUCUGUGAGUCAUCAAGUCUUUGAACGCACCUUGCACCGUAUGAGCAAUUGUACGGUAUACCUGUUUGAGAAUCGUAAAACUCUCUUUUCUUUGGAGAAGGAUGUGUCGGUUGUGUCCGCCUCGGUGGAUACUCUGAUUAAAUGGAGUAGGUUUGGAUCAGGCUGGUGGCCUGAGACACUGUGUGCUAGAGACUAGCAGUCGUUUACUCGACUGGUCUGUCUUCUCAUGGUGCGUCUCAGGUCAUUUAAAGCUGGCCUGUUCAUCUGACCCUUUAACUGCGCCAAGGUCUUGUGCCUUGGGCAACCCCAAUCUUUGAUCUCAAAUCAGGUAAGGCUACCCGCUGAACUUAAGCAUAUCAAUA